rnacentral:rRNA from 1 species
UACGGGGGGGGGCAAGCGUUGUUCGGAAUUACUGGGCGUAAAGAGCGUGUAGGCGGGCCGGAAGGUCUGGUGUGAAAGCCCGGGGCUCAACCCCGGAGGGUCACCGGAAACCGACGGUCUUGAAUCCGGAAGAGGAGAGUGGAAUUCCUGGUGUAGCGGUGGAAUGCGCAGAUAUCAGGAGGAACACCAAUGGCGAAGACAGCUCUCUGGUACGUGAUUGACGCUGAGACGCGAAAGCGUGGGGAGCGAACAGG